AAGUCGUAACAAGGUUUCCGUAGGUGAACCUGCGGAAGGAUCAUUAAACGCAAUUGGUUAUACAUUUCACGUAUCAACUGCAUAAACCCAUUCCGAGUACCUUGCCUGUUGCUUCCAUGGGGCCUGACCUUGGUCACUCUUGAGAUGUGAAUCCCAGGAGAGUUCCCAUGGGAGGUAAUCAUUAAAUUCAUGUAUCCAAUGUCUUCUGUCUGAACUGUUUAUAACGAAUGUUAAAACUUUCAACAACGGAUCUCUUGGUUCUC
rnacentral:misc_RNA from 1 species